CGGGAGUAAUCCCGUAGGGAAUGUAGCGAAUGCCGAACCCGGAA
rnacentral:ncRNA from 1 species